UGGAAUACAAAUGGAGCUUAUCGUUUUGUGUCAUGGAUUAUGCAAAUAAAGGAAGUUUUACUACUACUAAGAGUAUUUUCGACAAGUGUACACGUAUAUCUUUGAUCCUUUACAGAUAUUACGAGUAGAUCCAGGAAAAGCCGAUGAAUUUGUGCAGCCUCCACAUGUACAGAAAUGCCUUGCAGCUAUCAACCAAGAUGACCCCAAGAAUGAAAAGAAAAUAGUAUUCGCAAGUUGUGGUGAACUCAUAUUUAGCAAAGUCUUGGAGAAAAUUGACAACAUGGUGAUGGAUUCAUUGGACAGCUUUAUCGAUAUAUUUGAAGAAGUGACCAGUGGGUUGGCAUCAUUUGUUCAACUUCUGCAUGAUUAUACAAAGGAAACUGGGGAAAAAUAUAUGAAACGGAACUUCGAGCUAGAGGACACAAUCAUGAGCCAACCCUCCGUUUGAAAAGGCCAUUGUUGGACCAUCUCGAUGAUACAUGUACACUACGUAGAAAAUUUAACAAUCCACUAUAUCGAUAUAUAAUCAGGAGUUUUCUAUUUGUAUAUUAUACUGGAGUAUAUUAAACU